rnacentral:rRNA from 1 species
AUUGAACGCUAGCGGCAUGCCUUACACAUGCAAGUCGAACGAGUGGCGGACGGGUGAGUAAUAUAUCGGAACGUGCCCAGUAGCGGGGGAUAACUACUCGAAAGAGUGGCUAAUACCGCAUACCAUCAGAUGUACCCAUAUGGGAUUAGCUUGUAGGUGGGGUAACGGCUCACCUAGGCGACGAUCCCUAGCUGGUCUGAGAGGAUGAUCAGCCACACUGGAACUGAGACACGGUCCAGACUCCUACGGGAGGCAGCAGUGGGGAAUAUUGCACAAUGGGCGCAAGCCUGAUGCAGCCAUGCCGCGUGUAUGAAGAAGGCCUUCGGGUUGUAAAGUACUUUCAGUGGGGAGGCGUUACCCGCAGAAGAAGCACCGGCUAACUCCGUGCCAGCAGCCGCGGUAAUUC